rnacentral:rRNA from 1 species
AUUGAACGCUGGCGGCAGGCCUAACACAUGCAAGUCGAGCGGAUGAAGGGAGCUUGCUCCUGGAUUCAGCGGCGGACGGGUGAGUAAUGCCUAGGAAUCUGCCUGGUAGUGGGGUAUAACGUCCGGAAACGGGCGCUAAUACCGCAUACGUCCUGAGGGAGAAAGUGGGGGAUCUUCGGACCCCACGCUAUCAGAUAAGCCUAGGUCGGAUUAGCUAGUUGGUGGGGUAAAGGCCUACCAAGGCGACGAUCCGUAACUGGUCUGAGAGGAUGAUCAGUCACACUGGAACUGAGACACGGUCCAGACUCCUACGGGAGGCAGCAGUGGGGAAUAUUGGACAAUGGGCGAAAGCCUGAUCCAGCCAUGCCGCGUGUGUGAAGAAGGUCUUCGGAUUGUAAAGCACUUUAAGUUGGGAGGAAGGGCAGUAAGUUAAUACCUUGCUGUUUUGACGUUACCAACAGAAUAAGCACCGGCUAACUUCGUG